rnacentral:rRNA from 1 species
AUGUUGAGGUGCUUGAUUCAAUCCGUUCGGAAGAUGAUGCAGACCUCACCACGCAUGCUGAAUUCUUCAUUAAGAACCUCAAAGAGACAUGGCACCGUCACUAUGAACACUCAAAGGUCCAGAUCAUUCAUUUCCCGACUGAGUAUGUGGCGACUACAAAGCAAGGGAACACGACGGACUGUGGCUUUCACGCGUUGGAGUACCUUGCGAAGUGGAAAGGCAGAAUUGUCCCCGCUAUCAUAG